rnacentral:pre_miRNA from 1 species
GGGUGAAUUGCCGGGCAAAUCUCCUUUGGCAGUAAGCUAAAUAAUACAGCCAUAUAUAGUAGAGUCAAGUAGCCUACUGCCAAUGGAGUAAUCGCCCUGUAAUGCAUCC